AAAUUGAAGAGUUUGAUCAUGGCUCAGAUUGAACGCUGGCGGCAGGCCUAACACAUGCAAGUCGAACGGUAACAGGAAGCAGCUUGCUGCUUUGCUGACGAGUGGCGGACGGGUGAGUAAUGUCUGGGAAACUGCCUGAUGGAGGGGGGUAACUACUGGAAACGGUGGCUAAUACCGCAUAAUGUCGCAAGACCAAAGAGGGGGACCUUCGGGCCUCUUGCCAUCAGAUGUGCCCAGAUGGGAUUAGCU
rnacentral:rRNA from 1 species